AAUAAUAAAUCGAAAAAAAAACAUUUUAUAAAAAAAUUAAAUUAUAUAAAUAAAAAAAUUAAUUUAAAAAAAAGAAGAAGCAUAUUUCGACCGCACGCAGUCAAAAUAAUAAACUUGAAAAUUUAAUAUACUCCCCUAACUUCAAUCGUCUUCCCCUCCCAAAUAUUUUAUACCAAAACUAAACCUAAUUUCCCAUCACUCCCACCCCUAGCCCGCCGCCCACGCCCAUCCCCCGCCGCCGAUGCCCCAUCCCCACCACUGUCUGUCCUCCCUAGCCGCCCUUGCUGUCCGCCGCCACUAAAGAUGCUCGAGAGGGGUCAGGAAGUACCUCAAGAUGAAGUCUUCAAGAUUACUCACAUGAGGAAGGCGAAGAACGCCGAUGGUACGGACCAAUGGAUUGAGCCUAGGGCUCAGCAAACCUAUACCGAGUUUCAACAACACAAGUUGGACUAUUGUGCCUGUCAGCCAGCCGGAACGUCGAUGACCAACGAGAUAAUUGCUCAGGAGUGGAUGGAGAAGGUAGCUCCCCCGACAAGGUAUGGGAUAGUUUAUGGGAUGCCUAAUCGAGCAUGUCGUCAAUUUCCGUCGUUCCUUCAAGGCGUAGGGUACUACUUCUGAAGGGGCAGUGGAUCCUAAGGAGUACCAAGAAAUGAAGCUGAAAGUUAGUCAACUAACAAGUACACUUAGUGCCACGGAGGCAAGGAUGUUGCAUAUGCAGGCCCAAAUUGAUAGCUUACUCAACUCGAGGCCCUCUCAUAUUCCCCCGUGUCCCGAGGAUGCUCGUAGGUCACAAGCCAACGUAGUUCAUGCUCUUGUUGAUGAGGAUAGUGGGGAGGAAUCGGAUCAUGUCUCUAACACCCAACGUUGACUUUUUUGAUUCGUAUACUUUUGGAUUGUAAUAUUGCUAUGUUUUCUUGGAUAUGUAUAUGAUAUUUGAUGAUAGUUUUAAUUCGAAUUAGUUGUACUUUUGAAGGUGAAUUUGAUUGUAGGAAGUAGUUUAUGGAUGUUUAACUUUACGAUGUAGAAAGUAGUUUAUGGUUGUUUAACUUUACGAUGUUUAAGUGUUUGAAUGUAGUUUUAAGGAUAUUUAGAAGUA